GACGAACGCUGGCGGCGUGCUUAACACAUGCAAGUCGAACGAAGAGCGAUGGAAGCUUGCUUCUAUCAAUCUUAGUGGCGAACGGGUGAGUAACGCGUAAUCAACCUGCCCUUCAGAGGGGGACAACAGUUGGAAACGACUGCUAAUACCGCAUACGAUCUAAUCUCGGCAUCGAGGAUAGAUGAAAGGUGGCCUCUACAUGUAAGCUAUCACUGAAGGAGGGGAUUGCGUCUGAUUAGCUAGUUGGAGGGGUAACGGCCCACCAAGGCGAUGAUCAGUAGACGGUCUGAGAGGAUGAACGGCCACAUUGGGACUGGGACACGGCCCAGACUCCUACGGGAGGCAGCAGUGGGGAAUCUUCCGCAAUGGACGAAAGUCUGACGGAGCAACGCCGCGUGAGUGAUGACGGCCUUCGGGUUGUAAAGCUCUGUUAAUCGGGACGAAAGGCCUUCUUGCGAAUAGUGAGAAGGAUUGACGGUACCGGAAUAGAAAGCCACGGCUAACUACGUG
rnacentral:rRNA from 1 species